GAUUUUGGAGGCUUGCAGGCUUUUCAAAAGUCAGCUCCUCUUAAAAACAUUAGCAGAAGUCCUUUUGGUUAAUUCUGGUGUGAUAAUUAUCUACGCCGCAAUUGAUCAUUCUAAGACGCUUUGCUUCUAACCGUCCUUUUAAAUGGACAACUUUUGAACAAUUUGACCUCAAAUCAGGUAGGACUACCCGCUGAACUUAA
rnacentral:misc_RNA from 1 species